GCGUCGGUAGUGCAAUGGUUAGCAUACGCUCCCGGUAAGAGUGAGAUUUGGGUUCGAAUCGUGGCUGACGCA